rnacentral:rRNA from 1 species
GCUGGCGGCGUGCUUAACACAUGCAAGUCGUACGAGAACUCUUCUGCUUGCAGAAGAUAGUAAAGUGGCGCACGGGUGAGUAACGCGUGGGUAAUCUACCUCUGAAUCGGGGAUAACCCGCCGAAAGGCGAGCUAAUACCGGAUAAUAUCUUUAAAACUUAGGUUUUUAAGAUUAAAGGUGGUCUCUACACGUAAGCUACCGUUUGGAGAUGAGCCCGCGUACCAUUAGCUUGUUGGUAGGGUAAUGGCCUACCAAGGCCGCGAUGGUUAGCUGGUCUGAGAGGAUGAUCAGCCACACUGGAACUGACACACGGUCCAGACUCCUACGGGAGGCAGCAGUGAGGAAUUUUGCGCAAUGGGGGAAACCCUGACGCAGCAACGCCGCGUGAGUGAUGAAGGCUUUCGGGUCGUAAAGCUCUGUCAAGUGGGAAGAACCUGCUCGAUGCUAAUACCAUCUAGCACUGACGGUACCACUAAAGGAAGCACCGGCUAACUCCGUG